UUUUAAAUAGCCUAAUGUAACCUCAUCAACAAUGUGUUUACAUUUCCACCACUGAGCUUUCUCGUCUUCUUGCUAGGUCUCUGCUGUAACAGCAGAUCUAGUCAAAUCGCCUUUCUGAGUCAUAGGAAUUGCUAUGUAACACACACAGAAACUGGGAUUUAUUGUCAAGAGUUGAAAUAAUCCAGUGGAUUUGGAUAUAUUCUGAUUCAGAUGUUCAUGUGCAAACAUACUGGCAUGAUUUUCUUAACAACUAUGUGUAAAGGCAGAUCAAAUAGAAUCCAAGAGCUGGAGAUAAAAUUAAUUGUUAUAAAUAAUUAGGGUAACAUUUUAAUCAUCCAAAAAGUUUAUUAUGCUCAAUUUUAGGAUUUGCAAAAGUUGUGAUGACAGGAUUGAUAAUUUAUGGGUUAUUGGCUAUUAUGCAAGGAUAAUGAAAAUAAAUGCAUUGAUUUGAGACUAUGUAUGCCAGCUUUAUGCAUAUAAAUAGACUUUAAAAUCCUAUUGUGUUUUAUGGCUCCACAUAAAUAACAAAACAACCUCAUGACUUGGAAACAGAGCAUGUGCAUCUUAAACACUCCAAUAAGAUGGCUUGGUUUCUUCAUUUAAACUCUCAUUAUUAAUGCCUAUCUAUGCAUGGAUAUAUUCCUGCUUGGGAAGAUACAGAAGAAAGUAAAAUCAGUGUUUCUGAAACAUUGAUGAGCUCAUGAAUCACCCAAAAGGAACCCUGUUAAAACACAUAUUCUGUUUCCACAGAGAAAGGAAGGGCCUAACAGUCUCUGUUUUUAACAAGCUCCUGGAUGCUGCUGCUGCUGCUGCUGCUGCUGGUCCAAUGACCACUCUUUGAGUAGCAAAGCAUUGGACCCCUCAGUGCUCCCCAAAGCUCAAUGGACCUCAAUUGUGUGAAGUUCCUUAUUCAUCUCU
rnacentral:lncRNA from 10 species